rnacentral:piRNA from 1 species
UACCCAGAAAGUUAACCUAUUUGUGGAGAGC